rnacentral:ncRNA from 2 species
GGUCACGAGAUCCAGCGUCAAGCCCCGGCUUGCUGGGCGGCAACCCUCCACUCGCGGUGGGGUGCUCCGGGUGAGGACCUGGCUCCGGUCGUCGCGGCCGGAGCAAGCGCGAGGC